GAGGUGUAUUCUCAAAGAAAACUUUGUAGCCACGUAAAUUUACUGCCAUCUUUCGACACGGAUUAAAACUUUUAAAACAACUUUUUACUUUGAUCCCUGUUCUUUUACUGAUAUGUGUUGAAUUUGUUAAAUAUCAAAAACGGCCAAGUGCGAGUCGGACUCGCGCAUGAAGGGUUCCGUACCAUUUAAGACGUAUUAAAAAAAAAUCUACUUGCUAGAUCUUGUUCAACAUUUUACCACUUUGGACACACAUUUUACCACUUCGGAACUGUUUCUCGCGCAAACUAUUCAGUUUAGAAAAAAAUGAUGUUAGGAACCUAAAUAUCAUUUUUGAAGACCUAUCCAUAGAUACCCCACACGUAUGGGUUUGAUGAAAAAAUUUUUUUUUUAAUUUAUUGACGUAUUAAAAAAAAACUAUUCACUAGAUCUCGUUCAAACCAAUUUUCGGUGGAAGUUUGCAUGGUAAUGUAUAUCAUAUAUUUUUUUUAGAUUUUUCAUUCUGUUAUUUUAGAAGUUACAGGGGGGGGGACACACAUUUUUUCACUUUGGAAGUGUCUCUCGCGCAAACUAUUCAGUUUAGAAAAAAAUGAUAUUAGAAACCUAAAUAUCAUUUUUGAAGACCUAUCCAUAGAUACCCCACACGUAUGGGUUUGAUGAAAAAUUUUUUUUUUUUAAAUUUUUAUGACGUAUUAAAAAAAAACUACUUACUAGAUCUCGUUCGAACCAAUUUUCGGUGGAAGUUUGCAUGGCAAUGUAUAUCAUAUAUUUUUUUUAGAUUUUUCAUUCUGUUAUUUUAGAAGUUACAGGGGGGGGGGACACACAUUUUUUUCACUUUGGAAGUGUCUCUCGCGCAAACUAUUCAGUUUAGAAAAAAAUGAUAUUAGAAACCUAAAUAUCAUUUUUGAAGACCUAUCCAUAGAUACCCCACACGUAUGGGUUUGAUGAAAAAAAUUUUUUUUUUAAAUUUUUAUGACGUAUUAAAAAAAAACUACUUACUAGAUCUCGUUCGAACCAA